GAUGCCUCGAGCAGGAAGCAUUGAACGAAGGAUCGUGGGAUCGUUGAUCAACGAUCGAAAAGUACUUCCGCCGAUGUUGUGCUGAACAAUUGAUGGUUGAUGGUUGCCACUCGCACUCUUACUGAAGACGGAGAAAUGAAAAUUGGACUGCAAGACCUGGUAUUUACAAAUGGAGCUAUUGAGCGUGCGAAUCGUGUCAUUUUCUCUACUCAAAACUGACAUCUAACAUUUAACGACUAAUCAUCAACAAGUGCAUCGGGAAAUAAAUUAUAAUAAGGUU